UCGUAAAAGGUAACCAGGCUCACGGGGUGGAUUAGGGGCAAACGGUUGACUCACACUUGAGUAACCUGCCCUUAACUCUGGGAUAAGCCUGGGAAACUAGGUCUAAUACCGGAUAGGAGCGCCUACCGCAUGGUGGGUGUUGGAAAGAUUUAUCGGUUUUGGAUGGACUCGCGGCCUAUCAGCUUGUUGGUGAGGUAAUGGCUCACCAAGGCGACGACGGGUAGCCGGCCUGAGAGGGUGACCGGCCACACUGGGACUGAGACACGGCCCAGACUCCUACGGGAGGCAGCAGUGGGGAAUAUUGCACAAUGGGCGAAAGCCUGAUGCAGCGACGCCGCGUGAGGGAUGACGGCCUUCGGGUUGUAAACCUCUUUCAGUAGGGAAGAAGCGAAAGUGACGGUACCUGCAGAAGAAGCACCGGCUAACUACGUGCCAGCAGCCGCGGUAAUACGUAGGGUGCGAGCGUUAUCCGGAAUUAUUGGGCGUAAAGAGCUCGUAGGCGGUUUGUCGCGUCUGUCGUGAAAGUCCGGGGCUUAACCCCGGAUCUGCGGUGGGUACGGGCAGACUAGAGUGCAGUAGGGGAGACUGGAAUUCCUGGUGUAGCGGUGGAAUGCGCAGAUAUCAGGAGGAACACCGAUGGCGAAGGCAGGUCUCUGGGCUGUAACUGACGCUGAGGAGCGAAAGCAUGGGGAGCGAACAGGAUUAGAUACCCUGGUAGUCCAUGCCGUAAACGUUGGGCACUAGGUGUGGGGACCAUUCCACGGUUUCCGCGCCGCAGCUAACGCAUUAAGUGCCCCGCCUGGGGAGUACGGCCGCAAGGCUAAAACUCAAAGGAAUUGACGGGGGCCCGCACAAGCGGCGGAGCAUGCGGAUUAAUUCGAUGCAACGCGAAGAACCUUACCAAGGCUUGACAUGUUCUCGAUCGCCGUAGAGAUACGGUUUCCCCUUUGGGGCGGGUUCACAGGUGGUGCACUGGUUGUCGUCAGCUCGUGUCGUGAGAUGUUGGGUUAAGUCCCGCAACGAGCGCAACCCUCGUUCCAUGUGGCCAGAACAUAAUGGUGGGGACUCAUGGGAGACUGCCGGGGUCAACUCGGAGGAAGGUGAGGACGACGUCAAAUCAUCAUGCCCCUUAUGUCUUGGGCUUCACGCAUGCUACAAUGGCCGGUACAAUGGGCUGCGAUACUGUGAGGUGGAGCUAAUCCCAAAAAGCCGGUCUCAGUUCGGAUUGGGGUCUGCAACUCGACCCCAUGAAGUCGGAGUCGCUAGUAAUCGCAGAUCAGCAACGCUGCGGUGAAUACGUUCCCGGGCCUGGUACACACCGCCAUAAAAAUCACGAAAGUUGGUCCACC
rnacentral:rRNA from 1 species